rnacentral:lncRNA from 1 species
GGCAUGGUCCUCAGACAGGCCUAAAAGCCGGCCAGCCAGCAGGCCUGGGGGAAUGAAGCCUGUUUUGUAGAAGAUACAGAAGCCAGGAGAGGGGAGGUGACAUGCCCAAGGUCACACAGUGACUGGAUGGCAGGGGCAGGCGAGCACCUGCUGAGCUGACAACAGGCAAUGCCCAGCAGCUGCCUCCUCGCCCUAGCUGAGCUGACCACAAGAUUCCAGACCUCAGCUGGAGCUGCAGCCUCAUACUGGCUGAGUGGCUCCAAGACACAGAAGGAAGCGAGCUGGGCACCAAGGGGGAGCUCACCAUCAUGUCACUGCGCCAAGCGCCAAGCAGAGCCACUGUGAGGCAGUGAGGACUGGAAGGGCCUGGGAGGAAUAGCUGGGAUCGACUUUUGCUGGAAAUUGGCCCUUGCAGGCCUCCCUUCACCCGGAAUGCCUGUGAUCACUGUGCCUGGGCACAUGGGCUUCACUUGGCAACACCUGUGCUGGCCUGUAGGACCAACCUACCAUUUUGUAUCAUUCUCCUCCCACCCCAAAGUUGAGUGCCAAAGAUCUGCUCCUGGACCCAGGCAUACCUGCCCCCACUGGCACACCUGGGCACAUCUGCCCCCACCUACCAUUGCCCAUCGUCAACACCUGCACAUUCUCAAAUUCCAGGGUGGUGUAGGCUGGGUCCAGUGCAGCACUGUAGUCGGCCAUGUCCAUGUCGACGAGGGUUUUGGAGAGUCGCAUUCUCCCUGCCUCCACGCCGCGGCCACCUGCCCUGCCCUGGGCGCCCACCCCGAAGGCCCCCGCCCUCCGCCCUCCCACUGCCUCCUCCCAGUGCCCUCUCUGCCUUCCUUUCAAACCGUCCUCUGGGAAGAUCUGCUGGGAGUCUUGGCCUAGCCUCUGUGAAGGGGUGGAGGCUCUGCCGGGGAGGGGUGGGGGUUAAUGGUUAAUCGGUCCCCCGCCGGUGGAUAGGCUGGGCGGGGCUGCAGGGAUUUGGCUGUUUGUUGGUUUCUGGCUGACACCCGGGGUGCUAAUUACAACUGCUGGGGCCCUAACUCACCGAUGUUCAGUUAUCAAUUGUACAAGGCAGGCAUCAUGACUCACGGGCACUCAUUUGACCCUUGACUCACCCACCCACCCCUCCAAGCCAUUGUCACCCCAAGUCAGGCAUUCUAACUGAUACUAUCAGGCACUGACAGCCUACCUCCGAGAUCCCCUAAUUCAAUAACUUCCCAAAUCAUUGACUUCUACCCUCAAUGCUUUUGCAGAGAUAAGGCUGCCCCGUGGCCCACGGUUUAGAAACCUAAAUCCCAGGCCCCAGAUGCCAAUCUUCUGGAUCCUUGUUCUGGGAGCUCCCUUCCAGUUCCCCCGCAGUUUCCCGGUUCCCCUGGGAGCAGAAUGGACUGGAAGUUUGGGAGGGCCAGAUUCACCUCCAAUUCCCCGCUCCUGCUCCCUGUGAUCCCACCCUGCCCCUCACCGUCUCCCACAGCUCCCAGUGCUUCUGGCCCAGGCGGGCUCCAUCUCGGAUUUUCCCAUCACAUUCUCCUGUUUCCCUCACCCCCACCCCCUCCCAGAGCAGGCAGAGACCUGGAUUUACAUUCAGGCACCUAUCGUCUACUAACUGGGACCUUGGGUAAAUGAUUCCCCUCUCUGAGCCUCAGUUUCCUUUUCUGUAAAAUGUACAAUCAACUUUAAAGGGUGGUUUGAGAAGGAAAUGAGAUGGCAUAAAUCAAGCACCAAGUGGGGCCUGGUAGACGUCCAUCCUCUUCCUCCUCCCUCUCCCUGUUUCGUAUCCCCAUUGCCAUCCCCCUGUUUCUCUCCACCCGUCUCCUACCUUCAGAGUGGGCUUUGUGGGGGUAUCGCCAGUGCAGUCACAGGCAACCCAAC